UACGAAGGGGGCUAGCGUUGCUCGGAAUUACUGGGCGUAAAGGGCGCGUAGGCGGACAUUUAAGUCAGAGGUGAAAUCCCGGAGCUCAACUUCGGAACUGCCUUUGAUACUGGAUGUCUUGAGUGUGAGAGAGGUAUGUGGAACUCCGAGUGUAGAGGUGAAAUUCGUAGAUAUUCGGAAGAACACCAGUGGCGAAGGCGACAUACUGGCUCAUUACUGACGCUGAGGCGCGAAAGCGUGGGGAGCAAACAGG
rnacentral:rRNA from 1 species